rnacentral:rRNA from 1 species
UACGUAGGGUGCAAGCGUUGUCCGGAAUUACUGGGCGUAAAGGGUGCGUAGGCGGUUCGCUAAGUCUGUUGUGAAAUCCCCGGGCUCAACCUGGGAAUGGCAAUGGAUACUGGCUAGCUAGAGUGUGUCAGAGGAUGGUGGAAUUCCCGGUGUAGCGGUGAAAUGCGUAGAGAUCGGGAGGAACAUCAGUGGCGAAGGCGGCCAUCUGGGACAACACUGACGCUGAAGCACGAAAGCGUGGGGAGCAAACAGG